ensembl:lncRNA
GUGUCCAAGGAAAGGGGCGAUGAUGCAGAGGAUGGCGGCGGCAGCACCGCGCUGUGCCGCAGCUUGCAGGCCUACGCCGCUGCAUGCCAGGCUGCAGGAGGGGAGCUGCAGGAGUGGAGGGAAGCAGCCAAGUGCCGGGAAGAUGCAUUUUGUAUGAUGCAGUGCUUCUGUUUUGUAAGAGGGGUGUGUUUGCAUGAUGCAGUGCUUGCAUUUUUGCAGGGGAAGAUGCAUUUUGCAUGAUGCAGUGCUUGCAUUUUGCAAGGGGAGGUGUUGCUGCGUAGUGCCUUGUUUGCAUUUUGCAAGAGAGGAUGCAUUUGCAUGAUGCAUUGCUUGCACUUUUGCAGGGGAAGAUGCAUUUUGCGUGAUGCAGUGCUUGUGUUUUGCAAGGGGGGUGUGUUUGCAUGAUGCAUUGCUUGCAUUUUGCAGUGGGGGUCCAUUUGCGUGCUGCAGUGCAUGCGUUUGUGCAAGGAAGGGUGCAUUUGCAUGAUGCAUUGCUUGCACUUCCGCAGGGGAAGAUGCAUUUUGCAUGAUGCAGCGCUUGCACUUUGCACGGGGGGUGCAUUUGCUUGCUGUAAGGCAUGCAUUUUUUGCAAGAGAGGAUGCAUUUGCGUGACACAGUGCUUCCAUUUUGCAAAGGGGGGGGGGGGGGGAUGCAGCUGCAUGCAGUUUGCAGCAGCUCACCUCCCACCCGUGCAUGGAGCACCGCCCUUUGGGUUGCAACGCUUUUUGCAGUGCGUUUAUUUUCUGAUAGGAAAAAAAAAAGAGAGAGAAACGAAAGCAAAAACAGCAAAAAGCUGAUGGCGUUUUUUUCUGUUUUGUUUUUUUUUUCUUUUCUUUUCCUGCCUUUUUUCCCCUCAUUUUUUUUCUCCUUUAUUUCCCUUUUUCUCCUCUUUUCCUGUCUCUUUUUUCCCCUUUUUUCCCACCCUUUUGUUUCUCUUUUUCCUCCUUUCCUCCUUUCCUCCUUUCCUCCUUUCCUCCUUUCCUCCUUUCUCCUUUCCACCCUUUCCU